rnacentral:tRNA from 12 species
UCCUCCUUAGCUCAGUUGGUUAGAGCAUCUGACUGUUAAUCAGAGGGUCCAAGGUUCGAGUCCUUGAGGGGGAG